CCGGAGUGGGGUUGAAAGUCCAAUGCACUUAUCGUGAUCACAGACGCCAUCGCAAAAUAGCGCAAAGUUCGACUGAACAGUGCCGCACAAAUUUUGUGAUACGGGAACGCGCGAGUGCAAAUGAACCGAACUAAAACAAUUCAAGCCUUAAUCAACAAGAAAAUCGCGGUAAAAAUCAACUUGGAAAUAGGAGAGUGAGAGAGCACAACCAGCCGCUUUGAGUGACAAGUGACAAGUGAUCCUACGUGGUGCCUGGCAAGAGAUUCGGAAGGUAGAUUCACGGCUACUAAUUUACAUUUUAUGCUAUGGUGUGAAAGCUGACCCCUACUGCGAGGAGUGUUUUUUUUUAAUUUUGUAUAUGAAAAUAUCGCUAGACGAUAACUGUAUUGGGAAAUUAUCAACUGUUUUACGCAGAUUGAACAACUCCUCGUUCGAUUCGACCUGUGAUCCUUCUAUUGUGAAAUAAGAAUUAGAAACUUCUUUAGCUGAUAAAAAUUCUACAACAUGGUUAUCUGUAGUGAGAAACCAUGCGUUUCUGAAUCCCAUCAUCAGAUAAAAAUCGCAUCUCAAUCGUAAGCCAGACCCAGUUCCUAUAACCUUAGGAAAUUUUGGUGGAACAAUUUUUGUUGCUUUCUUUAAAGUUUCGAUUUCUUUUGAUCUUGUAAUUACCUGUUCGGUACAUCUAUUACCCGAACGCAUUAAACGCUUCAGUAAUUGUAAAUGAUUUUCAAAAUCAUACGUGGAAAUCUCCUCCAUGGAGCCAAACCUAUCACAAUCGUCAUAAAUAUGAAUGAGAUUAUGAACGUUGCUUGUUAUGUGUUCACGACCGUAAAUAUUUGCGAAACCUUUGAGUAAUUCUUUAAAUAUCAUUUUAACUUGAGGCCAAAGGUGUGCUUUCGUGGCAAAAAUUGUAUGUGCACAAAAAUAUAGAAAAUAAUUCUGAAACGCUUCUUCCCACAUAAAAUCAUUGUAUAUAAUAAAACUAGCGUAAAACAAAAAUGAUCUAU